rnacentral:rRNA from 1 species
GACGAACGCUGGCGGCGUGCUUAACACAUGCAAGUCGAACGAAGAGCUAUGGAAGCUUGCUUCUAUCAAUCUUAGUGGCGCACGGGUGAGUAACGCGUAAUCAACCUGCCCUUCAGAGGGGGACAACAGUUGGAAACGACUGCUAAUACCGCAUACGAUCUAAUCUCGGCAUCGAGGAUAGAUGAAAGGUGGCCUCUACAUGUAAGCUAUCACUGAAGGAGGGGAUUGCGUCUGAUUAGCUAGUUGGAGGGGUAACGGCCCACCAAGGCGAUGAUCAGUAGCCGGUCUGGGAGGAUGAACGGCCACAUUGGGACUGAGACACGGCCCAGGCUCCUACGGGAGGCAGCAGUGGGGAAUCUUCCGAAAUGGACGAAAGGCUGACGGAGCAACGCCGCGUGAGUGAUGACGGCCUUCGGGUUGUAAAGCUCUGUUAAUCGGGACGAAAGGCCUUCUUGCGAAUAGUGAGAAGGAUUGACGGUACCGGAAUAGAAAGCCACGGCUAACUACGUG